rnacentral:rRNA from 1 species
AUUGAACGCUGGCGGCAGGCUUAACACAUGCAAGUCGAGCGGAGCGAGGGUGCUUGCACCUUAGCUUAGCGGCGGACGGGUGAGUAAUGCUUAGGAAUCUGCCUAUUAGUGGGGGACAACAUUCCGAAAGGGAUGCUAAUACCGCAUACGCCCUACGGGGGAAAGCAGGGGAUCUUCGGACAUUGCGCUAAUAGAUGAGCCUAAGCCGGAUUAGCUAGUUGGUGGGGUAAAGGCCUACCAAGGCGACGAUCUGUAGCGGGUCUGAGAGGAUGAUCCGCCACACUGGGACUGAGACACGGCCCAGACUCCUACGGGAGGCAGCAGUGGGGAAUAUUGGACAAUGGGCGGAAGCCUGAUCCAGCCAUGCCGCGUGUGUGAAGAAGGCCUUUUGGUUGUAAAGCACUUUAAGCGAGGAGGAGGCUACUAGUAUUAAUACUACUGGAUAGUGGACGUUACUCGCAGAAUAAGCACCGGCUAACUCUGUGCCAGCCGCCGCGGUAA